rnacentral:rRNA from 1 species
CUGCCAGUAGUGUUAUGCUUCUCCUAAAGACUAAGCCAUGCAUGUCUCCGAAUAGAAUAGAAGAGCAAGUCUCUCUGAAUCUGCGAACGGCUCCGCAUACCAGUUGUAAACCAUAGCAAGCAAACCGGGCGGUCGUUUCACGACGCAUCGCUCGGUUCAUAAGGAUACCCAUGGUAAUUCUGAGGCUAAUACAAGAACGUACAACCCGCUCGACCCGUUAGGGGAGGGGGGGGAAUGUGUGACUAAGGCACGCAAAUAUCGUACUGGGAGUGGCCACACGUUCAGACCACCAUACCAAACGGUCGUUCGCUUCCGAAAGCCUCCGGGCGAGUGGUGGCGGGCUUCAGGGUGGCUCUUGCUGUGUGCUUCUGACCUAUCAACUAGAUGGCAGCGUAACGGACAUGCUAUGGUGACAACGGGUACAGAGGAUAAGGGUUCGAUCCUGGAGAGUGGGCCUGAGAGAUUGCUCACACUUCUAAGGAAGGCAGCAGGCGCGCAACGUUCCCAUUGGGCAAAGCUCGAGGGCGUUAGGGGACAUAUGAAUGCCUGCCUUAUGGUGGGCAAUUCAAAUGGGACUGUUUUAAACAUCCUAUCGAGUAACAAUUAGAGGACAAGUCUGGUGCCAGCACCCGCGGUAAUUCCAGCUCUAAUAGCAUACGUUAAAGUUGUUGCGGUUAAAACGCUCGUAGUCGGCCACAGACCUUCAAAAGCUUGAUUCGGGAAACCGGGCCUGCUGCUCUUCUCCAAGGGCGCGCCGGCUACUGCUGAUAGUGGACGUCGGUCAAGUGUGCUCCAGGCUGUCUCCUCCUCCGGGAGUUGUCACAGGGCGGGUCGUUCGGGUCGGGCUCACGCUCGGUUCGGGCUUCACGUUCGGCUUGGGGUGCCUAUCACCAUGAUUAAACCGUAGUGACCAAAGCACGUCGUUAGACGGGCACGGCACAGCAUGGCACGAAUCGCACCGGGCUCGCCUUUUUUUUGCGGGGGCUGAGACUCGGUAAAAGCGAAAGGGAUGUUCGAGGGUGACCGAAUUGCCGGGCGAGUGGUGAAAUACGUUGACCCUGGCAAGUCGACCAAAGGCGAAAGCAGUCAUCAAGGGCAUACCCGUUGAUCAAGAGCGAAAGUUAAGGGUUCGAAGACGAUCAGAUACCGUCGUAGUCUUAACUAUAAAUGAUGCAAACCAGGGAUAGGACAGUGUCCAUCUCGACUCCUCCCGAACCUUGGAGAAAUUACAGUCUAUGGGUUCUGGGGGGAGUAUGGUCGCAAGGCUGAAACUUAAAGGAAUUGACGGAAGGGCACACAAAGAGUGGAACCUGCGGCUUAAUUUGACUCAACACGGGAAAACUCACCAGGUCCGGAUACACGUAUGAAAGUCAAGCUGAAAGACUUUACUCAAUGAUGUAAGUGGUGGUGCAUGGUCGUUCUUAGUUCGUGGAUUGAUUUGUCUGGUCUAUUCCGAUAACGAGCGAGACCCCGGCGUUCCUAAUAGGGGCGGCAGCCAAGCCGGUCGCAAGAUCGGCUAGCUCGCCGCCUGAAGUUAUACUUCUUAGACGUAUCAGAGCCGACAAGGUUCUUGAAAUGGGUUAAUAACAGGUCAGUCAUGCCCUUAGAUGUUCUGGGCCGCACGCGCGUUACAAUGGCACGUAUACCGAGUGCUUGAAUAAGGCGUCCCCGGGGCCGAAAGGUCUCGGUAACCCUUAGUCCUUGCUUUGACUGGGACAGAUCUUUGCAAUUAUUGGUCUCAAACGAGGAAUUUUUAGUAAUCGUAGGUCAUUAACCUGCGUUGAAUGCGUCCCUGCCCUUUGUACACACCGCCCGUCGCUGCUACCGAUUGGGUUUUACAGUUACGCGUUCGGAGGAUGGUGCUUUCGGGCCUUCACGGGUCCGGGGCAUCGUCCGAAGUUCUAAUUACUGUACGGCCUAGAGGAAGCAGAAGU